UACGUAGGGUGCAAGCGUUUAAUCGGAAUUACUGGGCGUAAAGCGUGCGCAGGCUGUUUUGUAAGUCAGAUGUGAAAUCCCUGGGCUCAACCUAGGAACUGCGUUUGAAAACUACAAGGCUAGAGUGUAGCAGAGGGGGGGUAGAAUUCCACGUGUAGCAGUGAAAUGCGUAGAGAUGUGGAGGAAUACCAAUGGCGAAGGCAGCCCCCCUGGGUUAACACUGACGCUCAUGCACGAAAGCGUGGGGAGCAAACAGG
rnacentral:rRNA from 1 species